rnacentral:rRNA from 1 species
AUUGAACGCUGGCGGCAUGCUUUACACAUGCAAGUCGAACGGUAACAGGCCGCAAGGUGCUGACGAGUGGCGAACGGGUGAGUAAUGCAUCGGAACGUGCCCAGUCGUGGGGGAUAACGCAGCGAAAGCUGCGCUAAUACCGCAUACGAUCUCUGGAUGAAAGCGGGGGACCGAAAGGCCUCGCGCGAUUGGAGCGGCCGAUGUCAGAUUAGGUAGUUGGUGGGGUAAAGGCCCACCAAGCCAACGAUCUGUAGCUGGUCUGAGAGGACGACCAGCCACACUGGGGCUGAGACACGGCCCAGACUCCUACGGGAGGCAGCAGUGGGGAAUUUUGGACAAUGGGCGCAAGCCUGAUCCAGCAAUGCCGCGUGCAGGAAGAAGGCCUUCGGGUUGUAAACUGCUUUUGUACGGAACGAAACGGUCCGGGUUAAUACCCUGGGCUAAUGACGGUACCGUAAGAAUAAGCACCGGCUAACUACAUGCCAGCAGCCGCCGUAAUAC